ACACGAGAGAAGUUUUGGACUUAUUGUAUUACUAUCCAAAUUACUGUGUUCACACAGUGUACACGAGUUCGAUAAUUUUGAGCCAAUUCUUUCAUAUAUAUUUCUUAAAUCUCAAUAAAAUUUUAAUACAGUAAAUUUUGGUAUAAUUUGUUACAAAUAAAUAUGUAGAAACAAAUUGGUGAAGUGUCAAUAUAUUUAAAGUGAUAUUUAUUUGAGCGUGCGUUUACGACUUUUAUGUUGCAACGUGUGCACUUUUUAGUUUCUAUGCUAAUUCUUUCAAUAUAUUGGAGUGUCCUUAGACCCGAGUUUAUAUAAUUUUGUGGUGUAAAUAACAUUAGCUGCCAUUCAUUGGUCAGUUCUCUGCUCGCUAUCUUUGGGCGCUUCUCGCCUGUCAAAAAUUUUACAUAUGAAAGCAACAAGAAGGUUAUCUAGUUGAACUCGUGCAGGAGAGUUUGCAAAUACCUUAUUAAAAAUUCUUUCGCCGCUUGCUGUGUGCUACCAAGUUUUGUUUUACACAUUUUGGAACCAUUUUACUAUUGUGAACUGCUCAAAGGACAAAUUACUGUCAAAAUAAUAAAAAUUGUCUUACACAAAUUUGAAAUUGAAAAUGGCAGGCGAAGAUAAAUUGUAAGUAUUUUUGUAUUGAAUAAAAAACUUUAAUAAAAACAAGUAAGGAAGGGCUAAGUUCGGGUGUAACCGAACAUUUUAUACUCUCGCAAUUUAUUGAUGUAAUUUUAUAAAGACAACACAAUUCGACCCAUAUAUUCGGCAUAAAGUUCAAUAGAAUAACGAAAAUCAUCAUAAAUAGUAUAUGGGGACUGAGGUAAUUCCUAAACCGAUUUCACUCGUUUUCACCACCAAGAUACAACGUAUCGAAGACUAUACGCUCACUUAAUUUAAUAUUACUUAUAAUUAGGUAUAUGGGAUCUGGGGGAAGUUAUGACCCAAUUUUUACCAUUUCAGGUACAGAGAGAAACUGUUAUAAGAAAAAAAUUCAGAGGGAAUGAAUUACAUUAAAAUAUCUGAGGGAUUUACCUAUAUUUUCGGUGAAAAAUUAACCUUAGGCACUGAGUUCUUCAUGUUUGAUAUCAGGGGCCUUGAAAAGUCAUGGUUCGAUUUUGACAAUUUUUCCACAAGUGAUGUCACAGCUCAAAUACAGUAUUUGUGUAAAGUUUUAUUCCGCUAGCUUCAUUGGUUCCUUAUGAAUACAUUAUAAAGUGAACGAAUCAGAUGGAAUUCAAAAUUGGGUUAUAUGGGAAGUAGACGUUGUUGUGAACCGAUUUCGCCCAUAUUCCACCCGUGUCAUCAGGGUGUCAAGAAAGUGUUAUGUACCGAAUUUCAUUGAAAUCGGUCGAAUAGUUCUUGAGAUAUGGUUUUUGACCCAUAAGUGGGCGACGCCACCCCCAUUUUCCAUUUUGUAAAAAAAUCUCAGUGCAGCUUUCUUCUGCCUUUUCUUAUGUAAAAUUUGGUGUUUCUGACGUUUUUUGUUAGGGAGUUAACCCACUUUUAGUAAUUUUCAACCUAACCUUUGUAUGGGAGGUGGGCGUGGUUAUUAUCCGAUUUCUUUCAUUUUUGGACUGUAUAAGGAAAUGGCUAAAAGAAACGACUGCAGAAAGUUUGGCUUAUAUAGCUUUAUUGGUUUGCGAGUUAUAUACAAAAAACCUAUUUGGGGGCGGGGUCACGCCCACUUUUCCAAAAAAAUUACAUCCAAAUGUGCCCCUCCCUAAUGGGAUCCUAUGUUCCAAAUUUCAUUUUCAUAACUUUAUUUAUGGCUUAGUUAUGACACUGUAUAGGUUUUCGGUUUCCUCCAUUUUGUGGGCGUGGCAGUGGACCGAUUUUGCCCAUUUUUGAAAGCAACCUCCUCAGGGUGCCAAGGAACAUGUGUUCCAAGUUUCAUUAAGAUAUCUUAAUUUUUACUCAAGUUAUCGCUUGCACGGACAGACGGACAGACGGACGGACAGACAUCCGGAUUUCAAAUCUACUCGUCAUCCUGAUCAUUUAUGUAUAUAUAACCCCAUAUCUAACUCUUAUAUUUCUUGGUGACACAAACAACCGUUAUGUGAACAAAACUAUGAUACUCUGUGCAACAGGUUGCGAGAGUAUAAUAAAUUUUGUUGCAGAAAACGUGUUGACGGUGGUAGAAGAGUUCAGUGCGACCAAGUAUAGACAAUUCGAUUUCAAUGCUGCCAGUUCGUAUUAAAAUUUGGAAAGUUUGUUCGAUUGGCUUGUCUAUAGCAGUUAGUCAAUCGAUGACAACUAAUAUCAGUAAUUGAUUAAUAACUUCUCUACUUGCUAUCCUUGGGCGCUGCUCGCUUGCUUUUACAUAUGAAAGCAACAACAAAUGUAUCCAGUUGAAUUCGUACAAGAGCGUAUGCGGAAAAGAUUUGACCGCGCCUUGCGUUAGUGCUAGUAAAUAUUGUCUUACACAUUUUGACCAUUCACAAUGUAAGAACGACUCAAAGAACAAACUUUUGACAAAAAGGACAAUACAAAUAUAUUUUUUUAAUGUUUUGAACUUGAAAUAAAUAACACUUGAUUAAAUAAGACGUAAACAUGUACGCAGUUGUAAAAUAAGUGUUUUUUUAGUUUUUGCACAUAUGAUGAAUGCACACAGUCACAGUCGUAUUAGAAUAGCUCGGCCGCCAAUCCAUCGGCCACCGCCGCUUUGUUGUUCUUCAAGCGGGUAAUUGAUAUUGGAAUUUCUUCAUGAUCGGUCAAAAGGAACAUCUGUUCUAUGUUUGCAAAUGCUCUCGUUUCCCUCUUCAUCUUUCAGUAUCUAUCCUAUCCCACACGUGCUGUGGUCAAUCGCAACGUUGCGAGGUAGGCGGUCUGCUUUCUCUCCACUGCGAAACGACAUGCCGUGGCACAGUUCCCACAGAGACGGAUGAGCAUAUUCGCUGCCUUCAGAUAUUGAUUUGAGUCAAUAUUUGGACAUUGGAGAUAUCACAACAUUUGAUUUAGUUGCGCAAUUUGGGAUCAAGGGACAGCCAUGGUGAAUUAUUUUUUUUGAUAUGGUACUACAGACAUCUAUUUUUCGGGCCCCGGCGAAUUCGAUCAGCCUCAGAGCGUGUGGCGAUGUUUCGUCAUCGAGGCUUUAUUUUUCCUGACUUUUGUGCCGAUGACACCUUUAAAAUCACCAAGCACGCCUUUACAUCGUCGAGGGGCAGCUCUUAUAGGUGCGGCUUAGACGAUAAUAGAAAGUAUCUUUGGGAUAGAUAAUCGCUACUACACCAACAACAUCAUGGAAAGUAUCUUUGGUCACAUCGUCAUUGUUGUUGUUGUUGUACCUGCCUGAACCGACAAGCCUAGACUAAUUGUCAUCGAUGUCAUCUAACGGGAGGCCCAAGAAACGAGCUGUUUCGAUAGGGUCGGACUAAACGGAAAGUGGUGUUAGAUGAGUAGGGUUUAGUGAGCAUGCAAAGAGGUGAUUAGCGUCAUGCGGGGACUCUUUGCAUGCAGGGCAUAUGUCCAACACCCUCUGCAGCCGGAUCUACGUUUUCGACUAUCUAAUCCUGGAUCGGUAAGUACUAAGUAAGUACAGGCUGGCAUCGAGUCCAACCCAGGGCCUGAGGUAUUUUUCUGCUGCGAAUGCGCUAAGAGGCUUCAUCCAAACUCCACCUCGAUUAGGUGUAAUUCAUGCAAUGAAUGAAGCCAUAUUAAGACCUGUUAAGGCCGUAAGACUCAUAGAGAGUGGACUACACGUUAUGUGGCCUCAUGCUGCCAACGCACUUCUACGACUAUUGCCUCUUCGGCAGUGCAACAAAGCACCUAGUUUGCGCAAGGCGCUGCCGGAGUGGCCAACUUAGGGCCACAUACGGCCCCCAGGAGCUCAAUUAGGCAGCAUGACUCUGACCAAUCUAGCAGUCUGACAAACGGUUUCAACGUUAUACGUAAGGAUCGCGAGCUAGGAAAUUUUGCAGGCCUAGCAUUCAUACGGUACAACAGCGUGCAAUAUCGUUUUAUCGAAGGUGACAUCGACCGCAGGGACACUAUCCUAGAAUGUCCGGUUAGGCAACGUCGAGCUCGAAAUAUUUAAUAUAUACAUCUCUCCAGUUACAAGUUGCCCAACAGGAUAUCACCCGAAUAUUAGUACGCUACUUCGUGGUGUGUAUGUAUAAUUUUAAGAGCAAAUAAGUCAGUUAUUACAUUCACCUUUGAAAUUAUUUAUUUAUUUAUUCUUAUUCCACUACAAAAAAAAAAAAAAUAUUUCUAUAUUUUAUAUAUGCAGUGAUAUUUUUUAUGUUUAAUUAUACUUUAUUUAUUUAUAUAAAAAAUUUUCAAUUCACUCAUUCAUUCAUUUAUUUAUAUUCAUUUUUUUAUUGACAUGUAUUUAUAUUCAAAUUCAUUUACAUUUAUUUAUAUUAUUUACAUAUCUAAAAAACUAAAACUAAAUUUCUACUUAUAUCUAGUUUUGGCGACGAGGGAAGUCGAUAAAAGCGUUCUUCAUUUCCCUCACAUCGUUAACGUACAUUUUUAACAUGUCCAGACGCUUUUCAUCGGCUUCCUUCAUCGCCUCAGUCGCCCUUAAAUAGUCGUCCCCCAUUUCCUCCAUUACCAUCACAGCUUCGUUUGACGAUGGCCGAGUUGAGCUACCCGAUGAAGAAGGGCCAGCGUCUGUGCUUGGGAGCAUAAAAAAUAUUCUAUAUAGCGUGGACCUUUCAAAAGCUUUAGACACGGUCAACUUACCAACGCUACCAGAAGACAUUGAGCAAACAACACUUUUUCCGGGGCUGAAGAGAUGGAUCAUGAACUGAAAUGGGUUCUUCUCAAACUUUAUCGCUUCUUCUCUGCGAGGAGCCUGGCAUCGCACCCGUUAAAUCCACGGCAACCAUCUUUACCAACUGGUCGAAGGAAUACAGGCUAAAUCUUAAUAUUCACGUCGAUGGUACAUCAAUACCGACUGUGAAUAAUCCCAAGAUUUUGGAUGUCACAUUUGACAGUCUGUACUCCUUCACUCCGCACACGACCGGGACCGUUAGUAUUCAGACUGAACCCCGACAUAAAAAAUACAUGUCCUGCAUGCAACGAGUCCCUACUCUUGAUGGCUCUGGAAGGGGGCUCUGUUUCCAGUAAGUGACUGCAGGCAUUAUUUCUGCGAAAGCUUCCCAACAGAAACUGUUUGGAGAGCAUUUCGUUAUGCUCCUUCACAGGUAUCAUACAGGCCUCAUUGUGUUAGUGACCGACCGGAGACAUCAAGAGGCAACCUGUUGUUGUCCGGUGAGCGGUGUUUUGACAAGUCCAUCGCUUCCCAAUUUGCGUCCUACUGAGUCUAGGCAACUAUAAAGGUACUGCGUAGUUUUAGACCGGUCAGCCGAUAGCCUGGUAAGUUGCCAACAACGUUUCUUUGUCCUUACACCAUGUGCUGCCGGCUUGAGAGUUGAGGAUUUUGUAGCGGCUCUUUUGGUUACAAUCGGUGCGGGAGUGAAAGAGUACACACUUUUUCCGGGGCUGAAGAGAUGGAUCAUGAACUGAAAUGGGUUCUUCUCAAACUUUAUCGCUUCUUCUCUGCGAGGAGCCUGGUCGCCUCCCGUCGGGUAACACAUCUUUUCGCCUUAUCCAUCGAAGGGUGCAGUGUAAAUUUUCGGCUAAAAUAGCUCGCGCCCUCCUUUGGGUCCGAGGAGGCAUGACCAGCGAAUUGAAUUUCAACUGGGUCAUCAUGGCUUCUUGGGUCGGUUAGGGAUUUGACAGUAGUCCAGAGCUUAUGCACACCACUGGAAAGAUUGCAAGACUUCAGCUUAUAUUGGUUUACCAUUCGUCGAAGGGCGCCGCGCUCGUUGGCUAAAAGUCCUGCUUUCGCUGGGAAGUUUGGGUGGAUGUCUGCAAUGCGUCCAGCAGGAAUGAAGCAAGUAGUAGCAGCUAGGCAGUGCGUUGAAGGUGCUCUCAGUAAAUUCUGUGAAGCCGAGUCAAUUAGCUUUUCUGAAGUUAACGAAGGUAAGGUUGUCCACAGAAAUAAAGUGUGGAGGUUUUCCGGUCGAGUCAAUUAUGGGCAAAUGGUCUGUUGCGAGGGUUAGCUAUUUAUCAGACCACCGUUAACGAUUGUAAUAUCAGGCGAGCUAUUACAGGUGCCCAUAAUUCUGGUGGGGGCUUCGUCAUUCAUUGUGUAGAAUGUCGAAUCGUAAAUCUGUUCUGCCAGCUCAGUCCCGCUACGAUCGUUUUGCAGACAAGAAUGCCAUAGAUUGUGGUCGAUGUUACCAUCGAUUAAACGAUACUGCACUGUGCUGCGGAAGAUGAAUGCUAGGUCACCACCAUUGCUGGAUUGUAAAAGCUUCCUUUGUCUCGCUUGACCAGUGGUGAUCCUGGGAGUGAGGUGUUGGUGGUUGAAGCUGCAAAACCAGCAGGGAGAAUUGUCGCACACGGGUGUUGUUUGGCGACACCGUUUGAGGUUGCUGCGGGGGCGGACUGCUGCAGCAUAGGGCAACGAAUUACUCACUCCACUCACGGGUGGUGGUAGGAAAUCCAAGUUUGUAUGAGUGCUGUUUCGACAUGGUGUAGCUGUUUUGCAUUCAGUUGCAGGCAGCUAUUCCGCAUUCAGAUGCGCCUAAGCAUAUAUCCCGGUCAUGAAAAGAGUGUUAGCGAGCCGUAUAAAAAGCUGUUUCGAGCAAUGUGUUCAAUUUAUCGGAGUUUUCCAAAGGUAAUUUAAGGUAUGUGGGCCUUACAGUAGCCAUUAAAUGGUUCUAAUAAGCUUACUGCGUGUAGAAUCAAAUUGCGGUAAAAACUGAUUGCUCCUGUGAUAGUCGUGUGAACGUAUACCUUGUCUGUUUACGCAAAGAUUCUGGCUUUCGCGAACCAGACUCCAGGCCUGUCUUGGUUGAAACUUGGCACUUGAACUCUUAAAAAGCUGGGGUUGUUAUCUAAGAAGAAAACUUGGAACUUGAACUGUUAAAAAGCUGGGGUUGUUAUCUAAGAAGAUGGUCGGGCAAAAUCCCCCGCUGAACCCUCCGCGAGGGUGCCGACUGGUAAUACAUACCACAGUUUCGCAACUGUGGAGGGAGCUGUCCGGUAACGGUCUGUCCCUCCACAGUCGUGAGGUAUCUACUAUAUCUAUGUAAGACUCCGUUGAUGAGUGUUUGUUGCUCCUCAAUAGCACAGCAUUCGGUGACGCAGUCGUAUCAUGGUAGGGGGUACAACAAAGGGCUGGAUCAAGGUGUCAUGCGACCCGUGCCGAGGAUCAACCUGGCUGAGGGCACUUAAAUAGCCCAGUCUCGAACGGAGCUUACGGAUACCUGGCGCCCUCCGUAAUAAGAUAGACUUGCUUGCGUAGCGAGGGCUAUGCGCAAGUGGACAUUUAUUCCCCUACACUCGUGGGUCCAGAAAUGAGCACAGCUAAAAACAAAAUUGACAAAUCAGGGGAGUCCGGUCCUCCUUUAAUAAAGCCGGAAGGAACGGAUGGUUCCGAGAAAAGAGCAGCGUUUGCAACGAGCUCUAAGACAGUCAGCACGAAAACAGUGGCUAUGCUUGGUCUGAAUGUUAAGGCUAGCACCAGUGCUGGAACUACAGCUAAGCCAGGUUGUGUAGUUGCUGGUGCAGUGUCGAAAGAAUGGCCUACGCUUAGGGUGGAAGAGCCAUCGAAGACGAAGUAUGCAGAGAGGAAACGCGCUGCAUACAUUCUAAGAAGAGCACACCAGCAUCCACCAUCCAAGGAGGAGCUCACUAAGGAGCUCCAAGAAACCUUAGAGUGUGCUAAAGCGGUUCUUCCCAAUUUCAGCAUAGAACCGCCAGCAGGAGCAACAAAAAGGCAGAGGUCAGCUGAAGAGGCUAAGCCGUCGUCUAAGCGACCGAAGAUAAAGGGUGAAAUGCCCAAUAGAUCGUUUGCGGAUGUGGCCCGGAACCGCAUUAUCUAUGGGGUUCUGGCUGAGGGAGAUCCCGAAUCAUGCACAGAUGCCGGUUGAUACCAGGGCCAGAUUAAGAUAGUAGCUUGUGACGACGAAUGAUCGGUCCAGCUCUAUAAAGCCGCUUUGGCGAAAGUGGGAGAGGUAUAUCCUGGGGCCAAACUGAUAGCGGUCGACAGGAAAGAUAUACCGUCUAGACCAAGGGCACGAGUUUGGAUACCGGCUACACCAUCUCUGCCGGAACAAAUUAUGCAGCUGAUAAGGGCUUGCAACCCUAACCUACCAACGGAGGGUUGGAAGUUUGUUAAGUCAUUCGACGAAGCGGCAACCGAAUCGGGCGUGGAGACCAAAAGGUCCACGAUGCAGAUUUUGUUGUUGCUAACGAAUGACGCAAUCGAACCGCUGAACAAAAGUGGCGGUGAAAUCAAUUAUGGCUUCACUAAGGUCAAGGUAUAAAGCAGAAGCCGGCGCUAUUGACCAUCUUACCACGGAUAACGAGAUGGGUGAAGUGAAGGAAGAUCAUAUGGAGUCCUCGAGCGAUGUCGAUAGCCUCGAACAAGCAAAUUAGCGUCAGUAGGCCUAAGUAACCGCAUGGCAAUAGAUCAGCCUAACUUUGUCCUCAUUCAGGAGCCAUGGGUUAAUGGAGGGCGGAUUUGCGGCCUGAGGACGCCGAACUAUAACUAUACAUGUCACAUUGUGAAGUGACAAGGACACCACGGCAGUAAGCUGGCAGACGAUCAGAGGUAACUACCGGCUUGGCUCUUGUUACAUGCCGUAUGAUGAGGAGCAGGUACCAUUACUGCAAAUAAAAAGGCUGGUACUUGGAUGCGACUCCAAUGCACAUCACUCACUAUAUAUACCAACACAAGAGGCGAGUUGCUUUUUAGUUAUUUAUUAAGCAAUUUCUGUGUAAUAGAGGGACCACGCCAACUUUUAUUACCAGAAAUCGACAAUAAGUAUUAGAUAUAACACUUGUGUCGGAAGAACUGGUAGACAGAGUAAUACGAUGGAGGGUUUUAGAAGAACACUCCUUUUCCGAUCAUCGGUAUAUUGAAUGUGUACUGAGUGAGAUAACAAAUAUAGAAACUAUAGGAAAACAAACUGGCUAGUGCAUAUGGAAGAGCAAAAGAGGAAUAUCCCUAUGACUCCCCCAUUCCAGCCUAAGAACAGGGAGGACAUAGAUUCCUUAGUUGAAAGGUUCACUGAAUCUUAUCAACAAGCAUUAGAAGUGGCAUGUCCAUUUACUCGCAGUAAGGGAAGAAUUAGACCCCAAUGGUGGUCCCCGAGCUGAAGAAAUCUCAGAAAGCAUGCAAUUGAAUGUAGUGAAACAAUCCCAAGUAGAGCAGGACUGGGAAAGAUACUACAGCCUUCUAAGAUCAUGAAAAAAGAAAAUCAGGAAAUUAGAACGAAAACCGUGGAAAUCCGGUAGAAGCGUCUCGGUUAAGAAAAGUAAUAGCAAAACGUGCACAUAACAGUGAAGCCAGAUCUGAGCUGGACGGAUCACAGCGAAGAAACCUUAAAAUUGCUGAUGGAUACUCACUUCCCGUGUAGCUCAGAGAGCUUCACCGCUGAGUAUACUCUAGACAGUGUAGUGGACACAGAUCCUAAUAUUGGAGACUUAAUAUCAAUAGACAAAAUAAGGUGGACAAUUAACAGCUUCAAGCCUUUUAAAUCUCUGGAACCUGACGGUAUAUUUCCGGCUCAAUUGCAGAAAUCGUUCAGUUACGUAACGGGCUGGUUAAUAACCAUUCUCGAAGGGACCCUUCGGUUAAAUUACAUUCUUUCAUUAUGGAGAAAAGUGAAGGUAAUAUACAUACCAACAGCGGGCAAAAGCUCUCAGACCAGUCCAAAAGAUUUUAGACCAAUCAGUCUUUCCUCAUUUCUACUAAAAACACUGGAAAGAUUAAUAGAAAUUAACAUAAGAAGCAAGCUAGCUCCGGAAAAGUUAGCAGUUUCACAGCACGUGUACUGCAAAGGAAAAUCCACGGAAACAGCCUUAAACUCGGUGGUGACAGAGAUUGAAAGGGCUCUGGUAGUAAAGGAAUACGCUCUCAUAGCCUUCUUAGACAUAGAAGGCGCGUUUAACAACAUCCAAAGGCCAUUAUCAACGCCCUUAAAGAUCUGAAUGUCUCGGAAUCACUCAUGAAACUUAUAGAACAGAUGCAGGUUCAUAACUUCAACGCUGGGGGUUUUGACGAUGUGCAGAUCUGUCCACGGAUAUAUGCAAACAAGGCUAAAUGGGCAAAAUCAUGUGGAUUAAGCCUAAAUGCAAGCAAAACUGAGUUAGUGAUGUUUACCAGAAAACACUACAUUCCAGAGUUCACACCACCUUCAAUAAACGGCACCUCGCUACCAAUAAGUGAAAAGGCAAGCUACCUUUGACUAAUUUUAGACAGGAAGCUGUUAUGAAAACCAAAUUUGGAUGCCAGGGUAAAGAAGGCAGCUUUGGCACUAUACACUUGCAAAAGAAUGGUUGGACCAAAAUUAGGACUAACUCCCCGCGUAUAACAUUGGCUCUACACAGCUGUGGUAAGACCGAUUAUGACAUAUGGGAUAUUGGUCUGGUGGUCAAUAAUUGACAAGAACCACGCCGAGCCAGGCAUUAGAUGUGAUUCUGUAUUUACUGCCUAUUGAUCUAUUCUGCAAACAACAGGCGGUGAAAUCGGCACUUAGGCUGAGGGAAUCGUCGCUACUGCAAAACUGCAAUAGGGGACAUUCCAAUAUACUCGGCAAGUUUCCAUUUCUACCGAACAUUACGGACUUUCGCAAUCCUAUAAAAAUGAAUUUAAAGUCGGACCUACACAUAUCCUUCCCCUCUAGAGAGGAAUGGGAAAUGGGAAAAGUGGACAAAGAUUCAGAGAUAAGUAUCUAUGUAUAUAUAUAUUUGGCGUAGGAACCGCUUUAAGCGAUUAUAGCAGAAUCCACCAGAGCGCGCCACUCAUUCCUCCUUUUUCCUUUUUGGCGCCAACUGGAAACACCAAUCACUUUGCACUUGGUCUUUCCGCCGGAGUGGAGGUCGUCCUCUUCCGCGGCUUCCUCCAGCGGGUACUGCAUCGAAUACUUUCAGAGCUGAGUGUUUUCUUCCAUCCGUACAACAUGACCUAGCCAGCGUAGCCGCUGUCUUUUUAUUCGCUGAACUAUGUCAAUGUCGUCGUAUAAAUCGUACAGCUCAUCGUUCCAUCGUCUGCGGUAUUCGCCGUUGACAAUGUUUAGAAGACCAUAAAUCUUGCGCAAAACCUUUCUCCUUUCUGCGUUGGAUUUCAAGGCUGACAUUGUUGGUGUUGUUAAUGCUGGUUCCCAGAUAAACGAAAUUAUCUACAACUUCAAAGUUAUGACUGUCAACAGUGACGUGGGGGCCAAGACGCGAGUGCGCUGACUGUUUGUUUGAUGACAGGAGAUAUUUCGUCUUGUCCUCAUUCACCACCAGACCCAUACGCUUCGCUUCUUUAUCUAGUCUGGAAAACGCAGAACAAACGGCGCGGUUGUUGCUUCCGAUGAUAUCAAUAUCAUCGGCAUACGCCAGGAGAUGUACACUCUUGUAGAAGAUUGUACCCUCUCUAUUUAGUUCUGCAGUAUUAUUUUUUCCAGCAAUAGAUUGAAGAAGUCGCACGAUAGUGAGUCACCCUGUCUGAAGCUUCGUUUGGUAUCGAACGGCUCGGAGAGGUCCUUCCCGAUCCUGACGGAGCUUUUGGUGUUGCUCAACGUCAGCUUACAUAACUGUAUUAGUUUUGCAGGGAUACCAAAUUCAGACAUCGCGGCAUAAAGGCAGCUCCUUUUCGUGCUAUCGAAGGCAGCUUUAAAAUCGAUAAAAAGAUGGUGAGUAUCGAUUCUUCUCUCUCGGGUCUUUUCCAAGAUUUGGCGCAUUGUGAAUAUCUGGUCAGUUGUCGAUUUUCCAGGUCUAAAGCCACACUGAUAAGGUCCAAUCAGUUCGUUAACGGUGGGCUUUAGUCUUUCACACAAUACGCUCGACAAAACCUUAAAUGCGAUAUUGAGGAGACUUAUACCACGGUAGUUGGCGCAGAUUGUGGGGUCUCCCUUCUUAUGGAUUGGGCAGAGCACACUAAGGUUCCAAUCAUCAGGCAUGCUUUCUUCCGACCAUAUUCUACAAAGAAACUGAUGCAUGCACCUUAUCAGUUCUUCGCCGCCAUAUUUGAAUAGCUCGGCCGGUAAUCCAUCGGCCCCCGCCGCUUUUUUGUUCUUCAAGCGGGUAAUUGCUAUUCGAAUUUCUUCAUGGUCGGGUAAUGGAACAUCUAUUCCAUCGUCAUCGAUUGGGGAAUCGGGUUCGCCAUCUCCUGGUGUUGUACUUUCACUGCCAUUGAGCAGGUCGAAGAAGUGUUCCCUCCAUACUCCCAGUGUGCUCUGGACAUCCGUUACCAGAUUACCUCCUCGGUCCCUUCAUGAUAAUGCUCCGGUCUUGAAACCUUCUGUAAAUCGCCUCAUCUUUUCAUAAAAUUUUCGAGCAUUACCCAUGUCGGCCAGCUUUUCAAGCUUUUCAUACUCACGCAUUUCGGCCUCUUUCAUUUUAUGUCUGCAAAUGCGUCUCGCUUCCCUCUUCAGUUCUCGAUAUCUAUCCCAUCCGGAACGUGUUGUGGUCGAUCGCAACGUUGCGAGGUAGGCAGUCUGUUUUCUUUCCACUGCGGAACGACAAUUCUCAUCGUACCAACUGGUUUUUUGGCGUUGCCGGAGACCAAUUGUUUCGGCUGCAGCGGUAUGCAAUGAGUUUGAGAUGCCGUUCCACAGCUCCCUUAUAUCGAGAUGCUGAUGAGUGCUCUCAGAGAGCAGGAGUGCAAGUCGAGUAGAAAAUCGUUCGGCUGUCGGUUGUGAUUGCAGCUUUUCGACGUCGAACCUUCCUUGUGUUUCUAUACAGACGGUUAGAAACUGGAUAAACGAGUAGGAGGCGGGGUAUUUUCAGAGAAACUGGAUACCAGAAUCGCUUUCCGGUUACCGGAUCAAUGCAGUGCUAUCCAAGCAGAGAUCAUUGCAAUUAAAGAUAGCCUUCUCGUUUUGUCAAAAAGUCAAGCGGCUUUAAAAUUACUAAAGUCGCAUAGAAUAUAAUUGAAGAUAGUGAAAGAGUGCUUGGACGAUACACCUGCAAUGGGUCCCUGGACAUAGUGACAUUCCUGGAAACUGUGUAACAGAUGAAUUAGCCAGAUUGGGCACAACAUUGCAGUUGGAUGCUAAUAAAGAGGGAAUUUAUAUACCUCUGGCAACGUGCAGAUAUCUAAUAGAUAGACAUGCUGUUGAUAUGGCUGAAUCACAAUGGAAACAAUCAACGACUUGUUACGUAAGUAGACAAACGUGGCCUGAGUGGAGUAAGAGCCGCACUUGUGGUUUAUUGAAAUUUAAGAGGAAUGACACAAGAACCCUUGUAAGGGUGUUAACGGGAAACUUUCUGAUUGGUAGACAUACCAGCAUACUGAGGUUACCUUGUAACGAUGACUGCAGCAGCUGCCAGGAAGAAGAAGAUGAAGUAACGAUUACACACCUUCUAUGUGGAUGUAAGGCUCUGUAUAGGAAAUGAAUUGUAACUAUUGGACGAUUUUCUCGAGGAUGUGGGUGAAGUUGCUCAUAUCAAAUUGUGUGAACUUUUUCACUUUAUUAAGACCACAGGGUGGUUUAAAGAUGACUCUAUAGUGUAAGGGGUCAUAGUCCCAGUGGUGUCACAAUGGGCCUCCAAAAGGCCUAGGUGCGUCGUUUUGACAACCUAACCUAACAUAUCUAAGAAGAUUGAUGAUUUAGACAGCGACUAAGAAGAAUAAAUGUUGCAAUAAGAAACUCGAAUUGUCUUAAAAUUCGAAAGCACCAUGGUAUGAUGGUAUCGAUUCAAAUAUGAUCAAAGAGCUUUAAGAAAGAUGUUAACUGACGCGCUGGAAACCAUAUUCAGCAGUUCUUUUGAUAGUGUGUGGCACCCAGGAUUGCUUUAUAAAGUAAAAGAAAAAAGUGCGUGGAGUCCCUACGCGCGGAAGAAGUUAUACUUCUUAGUGAUAUUCCAAGAAAUUGAUAUCAUUUUGUAUGAAAGAAAACUAUCGAGAGGGAAAGGAUAAAAAUAUGGUGGAGUGGCCAACACUUUCUUAAAUUCACAUUUUAUAAAUUUAUUAUGCACAUUUUAUAAAGCAAAGUCCAAAUCAAUUAUCAUUUCUGGGUUCUGACGGAUUGAUAUAUAUAAUAUUUACAAUUGGAUUAUGAUAACUAAAAUACGAUAUGAAAUGUCUUACAUCUAUUUUAUCUAUAUUUCUCGCGAAUAUCUCAUCAAUAGUCGUACCUCCUUUUGUCGUAGGAUCAUUUCUUCCAUUGAUCAUUUCUAAUGAAAAUUUCUCUCUGAGGAAUGCCAGUAAUGGUUCAGCUUCUGGAAAUGAGAAAUUUACAUUGAAAUCUUCCGCAAGGAGUACCGGUUGUACUCUACUGGUUCCACGCACCUUUUUAUUAUAUAUAACUAGCAGACCCGGCCACACGUUUUUGUGGCUAAGGUAUACAUUAAAUUAAGUCGGUCCAAUCUUGGCUUCGGCGACGAUAUUGAUUACUCGAGGUUGAUUUAUGUUACGCAGCAACUCACACUACUUUUAAUUGCAAAGUGAGUGGUGAUAGUACAGGCAAUUUUAAGUAGUUUGGGAUAAUUGACUACGUCGCCCUGGUUUGUAGUUGUGUCAACUCUCUUGGACCGAAAUUCUAAAUUGUCGCAUUAAGAUCAUCGAUAUCUUUUUUUUACCACCAAUAUAGGUCAUUCAAUCAGUAAUUUAUGGUUAUCAUAUUGUGGUUUCAUGUCAGGAAAACUUCUCUUUCGAGUCGAUGAAGUGACAGAAAUCUGUUGGAAAUGCUAUUAAUCCAUCGAGGUGUCAACUGCCAACUGCUUCUACAAUCACAAUUUGAUAUUGUUGCAAAAACACUCAUAUGCAGGGAUGGGCACCACCACAAUCAAACGAGCAUCACAAAAUGAGAUUGUGUUAGUGUGCUUACUGUGGUACCAAACGAAUCAGCAAUAAAAAAUAUUCAGUCUGCUUGCAGAUGUUGAGCGAGCAGGUCUAUGCCACACGGUUGCACAAUGCGAAUAUAUGCAGUUGCUAAUGAAUGUAAAAAUUAAUAAUAAUUUAUAUAUAAUAUAAAUUAUAGUAAAAAAAUUGUUUUCAUUUCAUACGUAAAAUAUACAACUUCAUCCGCAUCGACCUGCACAGUCAACUGCUGCUUGCAGACUGAUUUUAUCGUCGUUUAUUUAUCGUAUUGUCCCAUCGUAGGUGCUCGUUUUACGCUCUUCGCUUGUGCGUGUUAGUGACAAUCGGUGUGUGUACGUAUACGAUCACUUACGCUCUUUUAGCACCUGCUAAGACUUUGCCCAUGCCUGCUCAUAUGUCAGUUGUUAAUUGGCGAUUCUUUAUGUGUCGCCACAAAUUAAAUGAUUUUAGGCAUGCGAUUAGCCCGUCAGUAACAGUUGAUCCAGGAAUAAUUGGAAGAGUCUGGCGUAAAUCACCUGAUAACAGAAUCCUGGCUCCACCAAAAACGUUCAUCGACAAUCAAGACCUUUUAAAGUCCUCCAGCGACUUCUUGAAUAUUUGGAAAAUCUUCGUUAUAGCGCUAUUUUUGACGAUUUUGCCGAUUGGUAUUUCGUUCAUUUGCAAUUUAGGAGUAAUUUCAAAGCCGAAUGUGCCGUUUGUUUACCUACUAACAGGUGCCAAGUUGCCCCUAUUCCCGUUAACCUUGGUGGUGAAAAUGAGUGAAAUUGGUUCUGGAAUUACAUCAGCCCUCAUAUACUAUAUGUAAUGAUUUUCUAUUGGACUUUAUUUCGAAUAUAUAGGUCAAAUUGUAUGUUAUCUUAAUAAAAUUACAUCAAUAAAUUGCGAGAGUAUAAAAUGUUCGGUUGGACCCGAACUUAGCCUUUCCUUAUUUGUUACAAAUUGUUUUGGGCUAUCGACACAACCUUAUACAAUUGAACGCCAUCAUCUGUUCGUUUUUAUUUCCUUUUUAAAAUCGUAUUUCAAAAUUUAUUUUCUUCAUAUUUUUUUUCGGAAAAUUUUCCAGAAUUUUCUUAAGUAUUCUUCUUGUUUGGGGGGAGACCUGUCCGAAUUGGUGGUAAUCACCGAAAUCGGUUCAGGCGUUCUCCAGUUAUAAGCGUAGUAACUAACGUCACUUUCUUUUAUAUAUAUAGAUUAUUUGUAUAAAACCUUGGAAUUUAUUCAUUUAUUAAAAUCACCACUCAGAAGUCCUUUUAUCCGUUGUAACCGAGCGAUCAUCGAAGAAACAUCAUUUCUAAUAUGCCACAAAACAAAAUUAGAAAUGAAGUUUAUAAACCUCACGCUGUCAGAUAAAACGAUAUACUUCCUCAUCGCGGGUGCUAAUACUUUCGAUUUGCAAAGAAAGUAAAUGAAGACUGACUACAGAAAUGAUCCUGUGAAGUAUAGUUUUAACUUUUCAACGGCCAACGCAGAGUAUUUCAACCAAAAGUCACACUAAAUAGUUGAGAAUUCGCAGAAAUUAAACAGAAACGAAAGAAAAAUAAUGCGCAAGCAUACAAUCAUACAUAUGCGUACACAUGUGAAUAUGUCACCAACCAAAAAUUUAAACAUUGUUCUACAAAAACAAGAAUUGCUCAAAUAGCAUAAGCAGGCAUGGGCAAAGCCUUAGCAGGUGCUAAAAGAGCGUAAGUGAUCGUAUACGUACACACACCGAUUGUCACUAACACGCACAAGCGAAGAGCGUAAAACGAGCACCUACGAUGGGACAAUACGAUAAAUAAACGACGAUAAAAUCAGUCUGCAAUCAGCAGUUGACUGUGCAGGUCGAUGCGGACGAAAUUAUAUAUUUUACGUAUGAAAUGAAAACAAUUUUUUCAUUAUAAAAUAGCACUAAAUUACUUUUUUAAAUAAUUAUAUUACCCAAUUUUACUAGAAUGUAUAUUUAAUAUAAAUUAUUAUUAAUUUUUACAUUCAUUAGCACGUGCAUAUAUUCGCAUUGUGCAACCGUGCGGCAUAGACCUGCUCGCUCAACCUCUGCAAGCAGACUGAAUAUUUUUGAUUGCUGAUUCGUUUGGUACCACAGUAAGCACACUAACACAAUCUCAUUUUGUGAUGCUUGUUUGAUUGUGGUGGUGCCCAUCCCUGAGCAUAAGCACGGCAAGUGCUUUAAGUUCUCCGCUUUACUCUCAUUCACUCUCUCUCUCUCUCGCUAUAAUUGUUCAACGAUAUUCCCUCUCCACUGAAGCGUUAAACAAUUAUCGCAACCUUUUCCGAAGUCGUAUAAGAAGUAUAACUUUUGCCUUCGCCAUAUUAUCUAAUGCUGAUAUCAUAUUUGUGUGGUACAACUUGUAUGUAAAACAACUCAGAUAUUGAUUCAAUUGAAACUGGACGCUUCAAGGUAGUGUACGUGGAGCUGUCCUCUUUACCAUAUUCUCCGCUGAUUUUCAAACAACCGAAGCGGUUGUGAUUGCGACAUUUGCACAUGACACAGCUUUAAUAACAAAGUGUGAUAUCUAGUGAUAAUAUACUUAUUCAACCUGAGCUGGAGAGAAUAGAAAUGGAUGGAGGUAAAAUGGAAUAUUAAUACUGCCAAAUCAGUUCACGUAAGAUUCACGACCAGAAAGGAAAGUUGUACUCAUGUAUAUAUAAGUGGCGCUCUAAUUCCUCAAAAAAAUUCAUUUAAUCUCUAUUGAAUGUAUCCUGACCGACGACUUACAUGGAAAGACCAUAUCAAAGCUAAGAGACAACAACUUAAGAUUGAGACAAACGAUAUAUUGUAAAAUUAGGUUAUAUAUAUAAAAUAGGUAAAAUAUUGAGAAUAGUGUAAUUAAUGAAAUAAUAUUUUAAAUUUUCUCUACUGUUUUAUUUUGCUGAAUGUUAGGAGAUAAGCUGAGUUUCAGAGGCUGAAUUUUUUUAAUUUUUUCAAUAUAUACAAUCAUAUAUUUCAUUUAAACAAUACAUCAUAUCAAAGAUACACAUUUAAACGGUAUUUUGUGAAAUUUUUAUUUAAAAAUCCCGAAAAUUCAGCCGUUGGUACCUCAACUCCCUUGACGUGUGAAGAAAAAAACACUUGCACGUGGUUCAAUCAAUUUCAAUAAACCAAAAAAAGAAACCGCUGAAAAGCUUCAUCCACCUUUCUUCUUCUUCUUGACUGGCGUAGACACCGCUUACGCGGUUAUAGUCGAGUCCAAACAGCGCGCCACGUAUCCCUCCUUCUGGCAGUUUGACGCUAAUUGGUUAUACCAAGCGAAGCCAGGUCCCUCUCCACCUGGUCCUUCCAUCGGAGUGGAGGUCUCCCUCUUCCUUGGCU